UUAAGUUAUUAAGGGCGCACGGUGGAUGCCUUGGCACUAGAAGCCGAUGAAGGACGUUACUAACGACGAUAUGCUUUGGGGAGCUGUAAGUAAGCUUUGAUCCAGAGAUUUCCGAAUGGGGAAACCCAGCAUGAGUUAUGUCAUGUUAUCGAUAUGUGAAUACAUAGCAUAUCAGAAGGCACACCCGGAGAACUGAAACAUCUUAGUACCCGGAGGAAGAGAAAGAAAAUUCGAUUCCCUUAGUAGCGGCGAGCGAAACGGGAAGAGCCCAAACCAACAAGCUUGCUUGUUGGGGUUGUAGGACACUCUAUACGGAGUUACAAAGGACGACAUUAGACGAAUCAUCUGGAAAGAUGAAUCAAAGAAGGUAAUAAUCCUGUAGUCGAAAAUGUUGUCUCUCUUGAGUGGAUCCUGAGUACGACGGAGCACGUGAAAUUCCGUCGGAAUCUGGGAGGACCAUCUCCUAAGGCUAAAUACUCUCUAGUGACCGAUAGUGAACCAGUACCGUGAGGGAAAGGUGAAAAGCACCCCGGAAGGGGAGUGAAAUAGAACCUGAAACCGUGUGCUUACAAGUAGUCAGAGCCCGUUAAUGGGUGAUGGCGUGCCUUUUGUAGAAUGAACCGGCGAGUUACGAUUUGAUGCAAGGUUAAGCAGUAAAUGUGGAGCCGUAGCGAAAGCGAGUCUGAAUAGGGCGUUUAGUAUUUGGUCGUAGACCCGAAACCAGGUGAUCUACCCUUGGUCAGGUUGAAGUUCAGGUAACACUGAAUGGAGGACCGAACCGACUUACGUUGAAAAGUGAGCGGAUGAACUGAGGGUAGCGGAGAAAUUCCAAUCGAACCUGGAGAUAGCUGGUUCUCUCCGAAAUAGCUUUAGGGCUAGCCUCAAGUGAUGAUUAUUGGAGGUAGAGCACUGUUUGGACGAGGGGCCCCUCUCGGGUUACCGAAUUCAGACAAACUCCGAAUGCCAAUUAAUUUAACUUGGGAGUCAGAACAUGGGUGAUAAGGUCCGUGUUCGAAAGGGAAACAGCCCAGACCACCAGCUAAGGUCCCAAAAUAUAUGUUAAGUGGAAAAGGAUGUGGCGUUGCCCAGACAACUAGGAUGUUGGCUUAGAAGCAGCCAUCAUUUAAAGAGUGCGUAAUAGCUCACUAGUCGAGUGACACUGCGCCGAAAAUGUACCGGGGCUAAACAUAUUACCGAAGCUGUGGAUUGUCCUUUGGACAAUGGUAGGAGAGCGUUCUAAGGGCGUUGAAGCAUGAUCGUAAGGACAUGUGGAGCGCUUAGAAGUGAGAAUGCCGGUGUGAGUAGCGAAAGACGGGUGAGAAUCCCGUCCACCGAUUGACUAAGGUUUCCAGAGGAAGGCUCGUCCGCUCUGGGUUAGUCGGGUCCUAAGCUGAGGCCGACAGGCGUAGGCGAUGGAUAACAGGUUGAUAUUCCUGUACCACCUAUAAUCGUUUUAAUCGAUGGGGGGACGCAGUAGGAUAGGCGAAGCGUGCGAUUGGAUUGCACGUCUAAGCAGUAAGGCUGAGUAUUAGGCAAAUCCGGUACUCGUUAAGGCUGAGCUGUGAUGGGGAGGAGACAUUGUGUCUUCGAGUCGUUGAUUUCACACUGCCGAGAAAAGCCUCUAGAUAGAAAAUAGGUGCCCGUACCGCAAACCGACACAGGUAGUCAAGAUGAGAAUUCUAAGGUGAGCGAGCGAACUCUCGUUAAGGAACUCGGCAAAAUGACCCCGUAACUUCGGGAGAAGGGGUGCUCUUUAGGGUUAACGCCCAGAAGAGCCGCAGUGAAUAGGCCCAAGCGACUGUUUAUCAAAAACACAGGUCUCUGCUAAACCGUAAGGUGAUGUAUAGGGGCUGACGCCUGCCCGGUGCUGGAAGGUUAAGAGGAGUGGUUAGCUUCUGCGAAGCUACGAAUCGAAGCCCCAGUAAACGGCGGCCGUAACUAUAACGGUCCUAAGGUAGCGAAAUUCCUUGUCGGGUAAGUUCCGACCCGCACGAAAGGCGUAACGAUUUGGGCACUGUCUCAACGAGAGACUCGGUGAAAUCAUAGUACCUGUGAAGAUGCAGGUUACCCGCGACAGGACGGAAAGACCCCGUGGAGCUUUACUGUAGCCUGAUAUUGAAAUUCGGCACAGCUUGUACAGGAUAGGUAGGAGCCUUUGAAACGUGAGCGCUAGCUUACGUGGAGGCGCUGGUGGGAUACUACC
rnacentral:rRNA from 1 species